CUUAAGUGGGCGGACGGGUGAGUAACGCGUGGGGAACCUGCCUUGCACCGGGGGAUAACACUUAGAAAUAGGUGCUAAUACCGCAUAAGCGCACAGAGCCGCAUGGCUCGGUGUGAAAAACUCCGGUGGUGCAAGAUGGACCCGCGUCUGAUUAGCUGGUUGGCGGGGUAACGGCCCACCAAGGCGACGAUCAGUAGCCGGCCUGAGAGGGUGAACGGCCACAUUGGGACUGAGACACGGCCCAAACUCCUACGGGAGGCAGCAG
rnacentral:rRNA from 1 species